rnacentral:rRNA from 1 species
AGAGCGAACGCUGGCGGCAGGCCUAACACAUGCAAGUCGAACGGAUCCUUCGGGAUUAGUGGCGGACGGGUGAGUAACACGUGGGAACGUGCCUUUUGGUUCGGAACAACUCAGGGAAACUUGAGCUAAUACCGGAUAAGCCUUUCGAGGGAAAGAUUUAUCGCCAUUAGAGCGGCCCGCGUAGGAUUAGCUAGUUGGUGGGGUAAAGGCCCACAAGGCUACGAUCCUUAGCUGGUCUGAGAGGAUGAUCAGCCACAUUGGGACUGAGACACGGCCCAAACUCCUACGGGAGGCAGCAGUGGGGAAUCUUGCGCAAUGGGCGAAAGCCUGACGCAGCCAUGCCGCGUGAAUGAUGAAGGUCUUAGGAUUGUAAAAUUCUUUACACCGAGGACGAUAAUGACGGUACUCGGAAGAAGAAGCCCCGACUAACUUCGUGCCAGCAGCCGC